AGCGGUGACAUCAUUAACUGCACCUUAUGGGAGAGCUAUGGUAUUAAGUUUUUGGAAUAUUAUAAUGACCCAACUAACACGGGUGCUAUUGUCAUCAUACUAACCCAUGCAAUGAUCAAGGAUUCUCAGGUAUCCAAUGCAUGGAGUGGUUCAAAGCUGCUAAUCAACGAAGACAUCCAGGAGAUUUCUGAGUUUUUGUCAAAGUUGCCUGCAAAUGAGCAAUCCCAAAAGCCUUCGCAAUCUGCCAGAUCCAUGUCUCUUUGGUCUGGUGGAUCUCAGUUUACAACACUUGAAAAAUUUGUUCAUAAGGCAAAGUGCA